rnacentral:rRNA from 1 species
GACGAACGCUGGCGGCGUGCUUAACACAUGCAAGUCGAACGGUGAAGCCCUUCGGGGUGGCUCAGUUGCGAACGGGCGAGUAGCACGUUAACAACCGGCCCCUGUCCCUGGGACAACCGCUGGAAACGGUGGCUAAUACGGGAUUAGACCCGCCUCGCCAUCGAGUGUGGGUGGAAGGUUUUUCGGCUGGGGAUGGGCUCGCGGCCUAUCAGCUUGGUGGUGAGGUGAAGGCGCACCAAGGCGACGACGGGUAGCCGGCCUGAGAGGGCGACCGGCCACACUGGGACUGAGACACGGCCCAGACUCCUACGGGAGGCAGCAGUGGGGAAUAUUGCACAAUGGGCGAAAGCCGGAUGCAGCGACUCCGCGUGGGGGAUGACGGCCUUCGGGUUGUAAACCUCUUUCAGCUCCGAAGAAGCGAAAGUGACGGUAGGAGCAGAAGAAGCACCGGCUAACUACGUG